rnacentral:rRNA from 1 species
UACGUAGGGUGCAAGCGUUGUCCGGAAUUAUUGGGCGUAAAGAGCUCGUAGGCGGUUUGUCGCGUCUGCUGUGAAAACUCGGGGCUUAACCUCGGGCCUGCAGUCGAUACGGGCAGACUAGAGUUCGGUAGGGGAGACUGGAAUUCCUGGUGUAGCGGUGAAAUGCGCAGAUAUCAGGAGGAACACCGGUGGCGAAGGCGGGUCUCUGGGCCGAUACUGACGCUGAGGAGCGAAAGCGUGGGGAGCGAACAGG